UACGUAUGGUGCAAGCGUUAUCCGGAUUUACUGGGUGUAAAGGGAGCGCAGGCGGCACGGCAAGCCUGAUGUGAAAGCCCGCGGCCCAACCGCGGGACUGCAUUGGGAACUACCGGGCUGGAGUGCCGGAGAGGUAGGCGGAAUUCCUAGUGUAGCGGUGAAAUGCGUAGAUAUUAGGAGGAACACCAGUGGCGAAGGCGGCUUACUGGACGACUACUGACGCUGAGGCUCGAAAGCGUGGGGAGCAAACAGG
rnacentral:rRNA from 1 species